AUUGAACGCUGGCGGCAGGCUUAACACAUGCAAGUCGAACGAGUGGCGGACGGGUGAGUAAUGCUUGGGAAUCUGGCUUAUGGCGGGGGAUAACUACGGGAAAGUGUCGCUAAUACCGCGUACCAUAGGAUGAGCCCAAGUGGGAUUAGGUAGUUGGUGGGGUAAUGGCCUACCAAGGCAACGAUCCGUAGCUGGUUUGAGAGGACGACCAGCCACACCGGGACUGAGACACGGCCCAGACUCCUCCGGGAGGCAGCAGUGGGGAAUUUUGGGCAAUGGGGGAAACCUGACCCAGCCAUGCCGCGUGUAUGAAGAAGGCCUUCGGGUUGUAAAGUACUUUUGGUGAAGAAGCGGUAUUCGCAGAAGAAGCACCGGCUAACUACGUGCCAGCAGCCGCGGUAAUUC
rnacentral:rRNA from 1 species